rnacentral:rRNA from 1 species
UACGUAGGAGGCAAGCGUUGUCCGGAAUUAUUGGGCGUAAAGAGCUCGUAGGCGGUUUGUCGCGUCUGCUGUGAAAUCCCGAGGCUCAACCUCGGGCUUGCAGUGGGUACGGGCAGACUAGAGUGCGGUAGGGGAGACUGGAAUUCCUGGUGUAGCGGUGGAAUGCGCAGAUAUCAGGAGGAACACCAAUGGCGAAGGCAGAUCUCUGGGCCGUAACUGACGCUGAGGAGCGAAAGCAUGGGGAGCGAACAGG